rnacentral:lncRNA from 1 species
GCCAUGUGCCUGCACUAUACGUUUGGGCCCCACAAUAACAUCAGAUGCCAACUUGGGGGCAGGGUGUGUGUGUGAGCAGAAGUGACUGUACUGAGGGCCACAGGAUGACUGAGAGGACCUUUGGGGCCAGAUAACACCUUUAGCCCCUCCCUCCAGGGCUUGGUAUACAGCGGGCCCAUGGCCCUGUUCCCAAAGGAGUCUGAGGUCCAUGUUCUCGUCUACAACAUCCUCUCUGCUCAGCCACUCACUUGGCCAGGGGCAAGGUCACUGUCCACACAUUGGUGUGAACAUCAGAAUUCACUUCCUGUCAUGAUUUAAUUCUGCCAUUUCACCUCAUUGUAAAUCCUAGGCACAGGAGUCUAUGUGGCACUGCCCUGACUACAGUUCUACCCUGUCUCCAGCUCUUACACAUCAUCACAUCAGCAGAGAUGGGAAAUCAGUAUUCCCAGAGCCUGGCAGAGGGCUGCACAGCGAGCAAGGUGCAGGCAAAUGCACUGCACACCCUGACAGAGGCCCCAGAACAGGACUUCCUGGAUAGGAAGAGCAGGUCCACCUCUUCUGUCCUUGACUCCUCACUGGAGCUCAACCCCCAGGUGGAUUCCCUGGGUGAGUUUCUCCUGGACCAGCUGGAGCCUCCUGAACCCCCUGAGGCAGAGCCCCAGGAGGACUGUGUGCCAGCUCCAGCCUCCGAUGAAGUCCCACCUGCUGACCUCCUGCCCACUCCACCUGCAGCUCCCUCACCAGCUCUGGCCCCACAACGAGAGCCAACACCUGGAACCUCUUCACCAGCUGCAGAGCUGGAACUCCUGGUGGCUCAACAGCAGAUCUCAUCUCUUGAACUCUACAGGGAGGUCUACAGAGCUCUUGACCCACACCCGCCAUUCCCCUCUCUUACUGAUUUACUUAUUAUUGUAUUUAUUGCUACCCUUAUUUCUCAGAGAUAAGUCAAUGAUAGAAUUAAUGUAAAUAAAAUUUAAGAUUUUUGUCUUGUUUAAAAUGAUCAGCUCACUGCAUUCUCAGUCAUUUGCAAUGUUGUGCAACCUUCACCACUGUCCCAUUCUACAACAUUUCCCUCAAUUCUGUACCCA